rnacentral:rRNA from 1 species
AGAGUUUGAUCCUGGCUCAGGAUGAACGCUAGCGGCAGGCUUAAUACAUGCAAGUCGUGGGGCAGCAGGGGUAGCAAUACCCGCUGGCGACCGGCAAACGGGUGCGGAACACGUACACAACCUUCCUUAAAGUGGGGAAUAGCCCAGGGAAACUUGGAUUAAUACCCCGUAAUAUUAUUGAAUGGCAUCAUUUGAUAAUUAUAGCUCCGGCGCUUAAAGAUGGGUGUGCGGCUGAUUAGGUAGUUGGCGGGGUAACGGCCCACCAAGCCUGCGAUCAGUAACUGGUGUGAGAGCACGACCAGUCACACGGGCACUGAGACACGGGCCCGACUCCUACGGGAGGCAGCAGUAAGGAAUAUUGGUCAAUGGACGCAAGUCUGAACCAGCCAUGCCGCGUGGAGGAUGAAGGUCCUCUGGAUUGUAAACUUCUUUUAUCUGGGAAGAAACCCAAGGUUUCUACUUUGGUUGACGGUACCAGAUGAAUAAGCACCGGCUAACUCCGUGCCAGCAGCCGCGGUAAUACGGAGGGUGCAAGCGUUAUCCGGAUUCACUGGGUUUAAAGGGUGCGUAGGUGGGCGAGUAAGUCAGUGGUGAAAUCUCCGGGCUUAACCCGGAAACUGCCAUUGAUACUAUUUGUCUUGAAUGUUGUGGAGGUAAGCGGAAUAUGUCAUGUAGCGGUGAAAUGCUUAGAUAUGACAUAGAACACCGAUAGCGUAGGCAGCUUACUACACAAAUAUUGACACUGAGGCACGAAAGCGUGGGGAUCAAACAGGAUUAGAUACCCUGGUAGUCC